rnacentral:sRNA from 1 species
UAAGGUCCUAUCAUUUAUAGAUCAUUAUACUUCAGGUAAUAUAAGGCUCUAGAUAAAUCAUCAUCU